rnacentral:rRNA from 1 species
CCUACGGGUGGCUGCAGUGGGGAAUAUUGCACAAUGGGCGCAAGCCUGAUGCAGCCAUGCCGCGUGUGUGAAGAAGGCCUUCGGGUUGUAAAGCACUUUCAGCGGGGAGGAAGGCGUUAAGGUUAAUAACCUUGGCGAUUGACGUUACCCGCAGAAGAAGCACCGGCUAACUCCGAGCCAGCAGCCGCGGUAAUACGGAGGGUGCAAGCGUUAAUCGGAAUUACUGGGCGUAAAGCGCACGCAGGCGGUCUGUCAAGUCGGAUGUGAAAUCCCCGGGCUCAACCUGGGGACUGCAUUCGAAACUGGCAGGCUAGAGUCUUGUAGAGGGGGGUAGAAUUCCAGGUGUAGCGGUGAAAUGCGUAGAGAUCUGGAGGAAUACCGGUGGCGAAGGCGGCCCCCUGGACAAAGACUGACGCUCAGGUGCGAAAGCGUGGGGAGCAAACAGGAUUAGAUACCCGAGUAGUC